UGGGGAAUAUUGGACAAUGGGCGAAAGCCUGAUCCAGCCAUGCCGCGUGUGUGAAGAAGGUCUUCGGAUUGUAAAGCACUUUAAGUUGGGAGGAAGGGCAGUAAGCGAAUACCUUGCUGUUUUGACGUUACCGACAGAAUAAGCACCGGCUAACUCUGUGCCAGCAGCCGCGGUAAUACAGAGGGUGCAAGCGUUAAUCGGAAUUACUGGGCGUAAAGCGCGCGUAGGUGGUUCGUUAAGUUGAAUGUGAAAGCCCCGGGCUCAACCUGGGAACUGCAUCCAAAACUGGCGAGCUAGAGUAGGGCAGAGGGUGGUGGAAUUUCCUGUGUAGCGGUGAAAUGCGUAGAUAUAGGAAGGAACACCAGUGGCGAAGGCGACCACCUGGGCUCAUACUGACACUGAGGUGCGAAAGCGUGGGGCGCAAACAGG
rnacentral:rRNA from 1 species